CUCGUAGGUGGCCAUCUAAGUCAGACGUGAAAUCCCUCGGCUUAACCGGGGAACUGCGUCUGAUACUGGACGGCUUGAGUUUGGGAGAGGGACGCGGAAUUCCAGGUGUAGCGGUGAAAUGCGUAGAUAUCUGGAGGAACACCGGUGGCGAAGGCGGCGUCCUGGACCAACACUGACACUGAUGAGCGAAAGCCAGGGGAGCAAACG
rnacentral:rRNA from 1 species